rnacentral:rRNA from 1 species
UACGUAGGGUGCGAGCGUUGUCCGGAAUUAUUGGGCGUAAAGAGCUCGUAGGCGGUCUGUCGCGUCGAUCGUGAAAACUUGGGGCUUAACCCUGAGCUUGCGGUCGAUACGGGCAUGACUGGAGUUCGGCAGGGGAGACUGGAAUUCCUGGUGUAGCGGUGAAAUGCGCAGAUAUCAGGAGGAACACCGGUGGCGAAGGCGGGUCUCUGGGCCGAUACUGACGCUGAGGCACGAAAGCGUGGGGAGCAAACGGG